CAUGUGGGGCAAGCGUUGUUCGGAAUUACUGGGCAUAAAGGGUGCGUAGGCGGCUUGUUAAGUCAGGGGUGAAAUCCCGCGGCCCAACCGUGGAACUGCCUUUGAUACUGGCGAGCUUGAGUGCGUGAGGGGUAACCGGAACGAGUAGUGUAGCGGUGAAAUGCGUAGAUAUUACUCGGAAGGCCAAAGGCGAAGGCAGGUUACUGGUACGCAACUGACGCUGAGGCACGAAAGCGUGGGGAGCAAACAGGAUUAGAUACCCUGGUAGUCCACGCCGUAAACGAUGAGCACUAGAUUGGUGGCACGCUACGUGUUGCCAGUCGUAGAAAAUUUAAUAAGUGCUCCGCCUGGGGAGUAUGGUCGCAAGGCUG
rnacentral:rRNA from 1 species